rnacentral:rRNA from 1 species
UACAGAGGGUGCAAGCGUUAUUCGGAAUUAUUGGGCAUAAAGCGCAUGUAGGUGGCUUGGUAAGUUUGAUGUGAAAUCCCCGGACUCAAUUCGGGAAGUGCAUUGAAUACUGCCAGGCUAGAGUAUGGGAGAGGUGAGCGGAAUUCCAGGUGUAGAGGUGAAAUUCGUAGAUAUCUGGAGGAACAACAGAGGCGAAGGCGGCUCACUGGACCAUUACUGACACUGAGAUGCGAAAGCGUGGGGAGCAAACAGG